UGAGAGAUGUGAUUGUUCGUGUGAAGUUAACUUGAAGUGUAUCUAUCAGCCGGCGCCUGGAUGUCUGGACGGCCGAUGUUUUUCCACUAGUGGUUUCUCUUCCGCAGGAUAAGGACAGUAAACCCGGCUUGUGGAUUACAACACAUGAUGGUCAGGGGUCCAGCUGUUACUAGUAUGCAGACUACACCUACCUCUGAAUGUGUACAGUUAAUACAGUUUUGACUCACCAGUGCAGCAAGCAGAUCAGUUGAAUCAUGAAUCACCGAGUCUUAGCAAGAAGCUUUCAUAAGUUUCAGCAUCUCAGCUGUAGUCUUCAGCCUAAUCCAGUACACAGAAAUGGUUGGGAAGCAGUAAUAGGGCUAGAAAUUCAUGCCCAGAUUUCAUCUGCUAGCAAACUUUUUGCUCGCACCAGCACUGAGUAUGGGGCACCUCCAAAUACUCAAGUCAGCAUAUUUGAGUCAGCACAUCCAGGAACAUUGCCUGUUCUAAACAAGAGAUGUGUGGAAGCUGCUGUCAAAACUGCAGUUGCUUUGAGUGCAACAAUAAACAAAAUUUCUCGAUUUGACCGAAAGCAUUAUUUCUACCCAGAUCUCCCUGCAGGAUACCAAAUUACUCAAUCUGAAUUUCCAUUGGCAAGUAAUGGAAAAUUAGAAUUCAUCACGUACAAUCCCUCAGUGCACAAGUUUCCAUAUCGAAGAUCAGUUGACCUUAUACAACUCCAGCUUGAAGAAGACAGUGGGAAAAGUAUUCAUGACACAGAUAGCAACAGGGUACUUGUGGACUUGAACCGGGCUGGACAGCCACUGAUGGAGCUAGUCUUUGGCCCUCAGCUACACUCAGGGGAGGAAGCUGCAGCAAUGGUCAAGGAAGUUGCACUUAUUCUUAGCAAAAUUGAGACUUGCAACUGCAGGAUGCAUGAGGGAUCCUUGCGGGUGGAUGCAAACAUUUCACUUCACAGACCUGGUGAACCUCUAGGUACUCGCACAGAAGUGAAAAAUUUGAAUUCUCUUCGAUCACUGGUGAAAGCAAUUGACUUUGAAAUAGAACGACAGAUAAGCAUACUGGAAUGUGGUGGAAGUGUUAUUAAUGAAACACGCAGUUUUGACAUAGAGACCAGAGAAACUGUGAGCAUGAGGGACAAGGAAGUAAUUCAGGACUAUCGCUUCAUGCCAGAGCCAAAUCUUCUUCCACUGCGCUUGUAUGACUCAUCGGAGCUUGGCUGUGAUAUGCAGGGUUCACUUGAUAUAUAUGAAAUUCGUUCCUCUGUGCCUGAAUUACCUGAGGCUGUGAGACAGAGGUUAAUGAGGGAAUAUAAGCUUAGCUUGGAGACUGCCAUUAUGUUUGUGAAUGAUGAUGAUCUCUUGGCUUACUUCUUGGCAGUGAUGUCUAACAGAGCUCACAAUCCCCAAAUAGUCACCAAUCUCUUGCUCAACAAUCUUUUGGGUGUGCUCAACUCUAAAGAUGUUCACAUCAGAAACAGCCCUCUAUCUGCUGCAGCAUUUGGAGAGAUUGUUGGCAUGCAGCAAAGUGGCAAAAUAUCCUCAAGUGUAUCCAAAGAUAUCAUGAAUAUUAUUUGCGUUGAUGGAGAUCCACGAACACCAACACAGAUUGUUCAUGACAACAAGUGGAUCCAAAUAUCAGAUGAAGAUAUCAUUGAACAGCUUGUGGAUAAAGUCUUAAGGGAAAACCCUGAUCUGGUUCACAAGUAUAAACAGAAGAAGAAAAAGAAGUUUAUGAAUGCUCUCAUGGGGAAAAUCAAGGCUGGAACUGACUUAAAGACAAAUAUGAAUUUGGUGAAUGAAAUUCUAUCCAAGAAACUUGACUCUUAAGAAUUCAUGCUAAGGUCUUAAACUCUUAGACCAGCAGCACCUUACCAGUGUGCCCUGAAUCAUCAUUUGGAGAUGUAGCUACUUGCAACUGUUUCCUCCUGGAGCAAAAUUUCCAGAAUGUUUCAGCAAUAACACCAGUGCUGAGGUAGCGCAACUGAAGCAUCUUCACAUCUGCAUGAUCCAGCUUCACAACACCCUCAUUAUGGUCUAUGGAAAGAAGACUGCCUGUCUGUUCCCGUUCUUCACCAAAGAUUACCUGUGGAAAUUUGCAAAAUUACUCCUAAAUAUUCUAAAAUUAGAAAAUUUCAGUCUACUUAUAUACAAAUGUUUAGUGUAGGUGGUAGGAAAACAUGAGCUGAUGUAACUCAUUCUUUCUGAAGAUGGCUGUAUAAUUUCAAAUGUCAACAAAUAUAGUGCACACCUUGCAUAA